AUUGAACGCUGGCGGAAUGCUUUACACAUGCAAGUCGAACGGCAGCACGGGGGCAACCCUGGUGGCGAGUGGCGAACGGGUGAGUAAUACAUCGGAACGUGCCCAAUCGUGGGGGAUAACGUAGCGAAAGCUACGCUAAUACCGCAUACGAUCUACGGAUGAAAGCGGGGGAUCGCAAGACCUCGCGCGAAUGGAGCGGCCGAUGGCAGAUUAGGUAGUUGGUGGGGGUAAAAGGCUCACCAAGCCGACGAUCUGUAGCUGGUCUGAGAGGACGACCAGCCACACUGGGACUGAGACACGGCCCAGACUCCUACGGGAGGCAGCAGUGGGGAAUUUUGGGACAAUGGGCGCAAGCCUGAUCCAGCCAUUCCGCGUGCAGGAUG
rnacentral:rRNA from 1 species